UACGAAGGGGGCUAGCGUUGCUCGGAAUCACUGGGCGUAAAGCGCACGUAGGCGGAUUCUUAAGUCAGGGGUGAAAUCCCGGAGCUCAACUCCGGAACUGCCUUUGAUACUGAGGAUCUCGAGUUCGGGAGAGGUGAGUGGAACUGCGAGUGUAGAGGUGAAAUUCGUAGAUAUCUGGAGGAACACCGGUGGCGAAGGCGGCAUCCUGGACCAAUACUGACGCUGAGGAGCGAAAAGCCAGGGGGAGCCAAA
rnacentral:rRNA from 1 species